rnacentral:RNase_MRP_RNA from 14 species
GGCUUCGCAGUUCGCACACGGGGAGCUUGCUCCCAGAGAUGCUGCGAAGAAGGUCCCCGUGGAAAGUCCCCGUGCCUUGGUGCAGAGAGUGCGAGCGCCUUGGUGCAGAGGGUGCGAGUGGGAGACCGCACCGGGUGACCACAGGGCUCGUGCCAGACCUCCAGUGGUGAUGCUUCUCGUGGCGGGCGCGGGCCCUUAGCAGCAGCACAGACAUGCCGUGAGCGCUCAUGAUUGGAGCGCCAACAGAACGGGGCUCACCCUC